CAACUUUCAACAACGGAUCUCUUGGUUCUGGCAUCGAUGAAGAACGCAGCGAAAUGCGAUAAGUAGUGUGAAUUGCAGAAUUCAGUGAAUCAUCGAAUCUUUGAACGCACAUUGCGCCCUUUGGGUAUUCCAAAGGGCAUGCCUGUUCGAGCGUCAUU
rnacentral:rRNA from 1 species